GAGUUUGUGUAUUAUGUUAGUCUAUGAAAAUGUGCAAAUGUAUUGUAGAGACUUUAUAAUGAGAACUGCAUAUAUUUAUGAGACUUGAAAAUGAAUGUUUUAUCAAAUUUGCUUUCAUAUAUAGGUUUAGCACUAUCUUUUCUUAUAUAGGCUUAGUAAAAUAUAUAAGAAAAUAACCACCAUGUUGUGAAAAAGUGAACAAAGUCACGUACUAAAUGCACAGCUUUAUGUACCCUGUCUCUCACUUGUGCCUAAAAUUUCCCCUCCCCUAAGAGAAAAAAAAAGAUUUCACAUUUGGAAAAGUAAUUUUAAUAGCUAAUCACUUUUGAGUGUAACCUGACUCUAGUUGUUGAAACUCAACAAAAAUAAGAUACUCUGUUAGCUAGGGCUUGUCCUGUGUGAUAUUUAAUAAUGAGAGAGGAUUGCUGGUUUGUCUUUAGGCAAUUGGAAGAUGGACUAAAAGUAUAAAAUGGACUCAUACUGGGAAGAUUUGUUUAAAUCUUUAUUUUGCAUGAAAUUUAUUUUGCAUGAAAUAACCCACUUGUUACCUGGAAGGAUAAGGGUUCUGAUCAUGUGUGUGUUCAAGAUAGAAAAUCUUGAGAAAAAAUAGAAAUGGGGCAGGACUUGGUAAGUACUAGUAAGUAACUCCAAAUGCUUUCACUCCAGAUUUUUGUUCACUCUGGCAGAAUAGAUUUUUGGUGAAUUAAAUAUAAAUAUGAACGUACAUUAAGUUUGAAUAACUUUAUGUAAGCCACAUAUUAGGGAGGUCAAUUAGAUCAACUCUUGCAAAAUUCCUUAAAAAAGUUUAUUAGUAAGAGAAUCAUGAACACAUGAUAA
rnacentral:lncRNA from 1 species